AGCACAGGGAGACAAGAACUGCUUCCCCACUGACAACCUAAGUAUGUGAAAAUGCUGUGAUCUGAUUGCCAAAAAUGAGUGGAAGGCUGAUGACAGAAUCAACAUCAGAGUGGCAUCAUGGUGCAGGAGUGCCAGCUGAGAGAUCUCCAGACCCCUACUGCUGAGAAGACAGUGCCCAGGUGCAGUGGUGAGGGAUUUUGCCAUGGACACUCAGAGGGCAGAAUGCCAGCUGCUGCGCUGAAUCACCAACACUUCCAAAGCGCCCAUGAGAUCCCAGGUGGCCCAGCCUUGCCAGCUUGGGAUGAGGUUUCCUUUAAGUACUGGAAGUCUGCAAGUUGGAGGAUUCCAUGAUAGACCUCACCUUCCAGCAGGAGCAAUGCACUGACCUUCAGGAGAAGCCCAUGACCACUCAUCUGAUGGCACUCAGCAGCCCACAGCUGCAAGAAGGAAAAUGCCAGAAGAGUUUCCUCUCUGAUGUCACCCAUCUUGGCUUUCUUCACCCUGGAACCCUAGAGGUGGUGGCCACUGCUCAUCAGAUCACACAUAUCUUCCACAUCUCCUUCUCAUGGAAGCAGCCUGGGUUCCAGGGAACAGACAUACCCGCCAGCACCUCCACAAAGAGGCAACAAGAAGAGCAUGUGGCUGGAUGCACACUGUACUCUGCAGCUGUGGCCCAUCUGGGCUGGAGGGCAGCUGUUACGGGAUAUGAGUGCACAGCUCCUUUUGGCCUUUGCUCUGUGCUGGGCCCAUUCACACAGCUCUGUGCUCAGGACUGUAUGUAUUAGUGGGGGCACUACCAAUGCCAACACUCCCAGCUUCUAUUCCUUUAAUGAGGACCUGUAGCUGGACAUCAUGCUUGGGACCAUGCUUUGCCCAGAGCUGGAUAAAUGCAGAGGAAAUGGGAGAUGGUGUCUAACCCCCACAAAACAGGGAUGUGCCUCACAGAAGGUUCAAGCAUUGUGGUGGCAGACUCCAUGCUGAAUAUAGUGAUAUACAUAUAUAUAUAUAUAUAUAUAGAAUAUAUAGUGGCCUCUGUGGCUUCCUGAAAUGUAAUGCAGCACUUCUAGUGCAGGGCAAGCAGCAGAGAGGGAAAAAUCAAGUACACCUGACUAUGAGAAUUUUAAAGGUGGAAGUAGAUCCUUAUAAAGCUACACAAAGAGCUCAACUCUCUUGGGCGGCAUCAGGAUGCUUAAAUAAGAGAUGACUUUUAGAUCCAUCAUAGGGUACCUAAUGCUGUUAGUAUUCAGAACGGGCCACCCCAGCACCCCACAGGCAUAUGGCCAAGAAAUUUAGUGUUCCAAUUGUCAGUGCAAAAUGUUGUGGAGGCAGAGGUGGCUGUGCUUUGUGAGGAAUGUUGACGUUGCCCCCGUUGCAGAAAUCGUACAAUCACAUUAACUUAGCACUACCACAUCUACUACUAAAUCCUUUCCACCUGAUUUCUCAGCUUUCACUUCAGCAUUAAUAUUAGUUCAGCUUAGUCACAGAGUCUUCCAGGGACAAACAAACCCAAAUUCCUGAUGUUAAAAAACAAACAAACUAAAGGAACACAAGCAGAGAGGGGAAAAAGAUCAGGAGGAAAAUGUGUCCUUUGUGCACUGCAGCACAGUCAAAGCAAAACACACCCAUGCUACCCCCUACUUUGUUGUUCACUUUUCAUUUGUGCAGUGUCCAACAACUGAAAGCUGUCUCGCCGCUGGACUGGACACAGGGAUGUGCCAGAGAAUCCCUCUUGCUCCCAUGGGUGGGAUGUGAAGAAUUCCUCUCUUCAUAGCUGACAUUCCUGCUGCACUGAGACAAUAGCGUACAAUUCUUGUCCAAACAAUCCUAGAUAGACACUGUGAUUUUUCCUAAUCAUAUAAAUAUGAGAAUGUCCAUUAGAUAUGAAGCUUCCUGGCCAAAACCUGUAUUAAAAAUGGAAUAUCCCAUGCUUACCACCUGCAGUUAAGUGACAUACUAAGAGUGUUCUUAUCCUACCUUCCCAAGAUUAAUUAUUCAAGACUGGGAAGGGGAUUCAAAUUCACACAUAGCUAUUCAAAUAAAUUGUACUUCUGGGAGAAUCCAGAGUCAGUAAUAUGGUCAACUGCUCAUUUCCCCUAAUAGCAACUGGCACAAGUACUAAAGUCUGUGGUGGUGUGUAUUGUACUUAAGCAUAAGUCAGGUGCUUUACCAUAAAGCCAUAACAUUUUACCAGCAGCUUUAGAAUAGAGUGUCAUUUUUUCUGACAUGGUUGUGCUGCAGGGAUGGGGUAGCAACAGAAAGCUCUGUGGUUGUUUGGGGUUUUUUUAGGUUAUUAGUUGGAAAUACAAGCAUGAGUCAAAACUGAAUAUGGGUCACAAACUGACAGGGUGCUGUUUCUGAUCUGAAGACAUUAUUAUAGAUAGCUGAAAGCAAAUUUCACUGUUAUCACUGUCAUCAUUCUUAGGUGAGAUUCUGGUGGAACCCAGUGCAGAGAAGUAGAGGAAGGAGAUGGCUCUGAUCUUCAGUUCCGGUUCUGUGUGUUAACAACCCACAAAAAUGGAGAUGUUUAUGUUUGUGGCUCCAGAGCAAACCAAAAUGAAAGAGAAGUCUUAACUGCAAAAUUAGGGUUUGGGGGUUGGACAAAUUCCCAAUGCCUUGCCAGGCUGAGGUUGUCGAUAUCAGUGAUUAAUGUCCAUCUGGGUGGUGAGACAGUGUCUAAUCAGGGACAGCAUCAGAGCUCUGCGUGCACUGAAAAAACACUGGAGUGUCAGACCUGUUUCAUUGUGUGAAGUACUCACCCCUGAUUAGGUUAUGCUUUAUUACACUCUUAAGAUCUCAGCAAUAUUCUCCUUGUACCUUUGCUCACAUGAAGCUUGCUCCUUUCUUUCCAGAUUGCCCAAACAGAAAACCAUUUCUUCUCUCAAGAUUAAUUAAAAGUGUCAGCUUUUCAUUCUGUGGGGUUCAUAUAUUUUAUUCAGUUUUUAAAAUCUUGUUCCUUUUUUUUUGCCCUGGAAUCUGAUGGAGGAAGUUUGGAAUGACAGCAUAGCAGAUCCAAUGUAGCUUGUACUCUGUGCAGAGCAAGGUUAUCUUGCCGUUCAAAAGUAGACCUAUGGAAAACAACAGGAUUAAUUGCUUUAAAAAGUAAAUUUUCUUAAAGUAAUUUAGUGAUACUGUAGCCCAUAAGUGAGAGGUUCUGGCUCCUCUACAGAGCUGCUCCUUUAUGGAGCAGACAGAACUCUGUUGAUCAUGGCAUACUCUUGAAACAUUCCUUGAAUUCGUGGGCUCAUAUCUCAGGUCGACUUACUGGUGAUUCAGUCUUUCUGAUUUUAUAUACACAAGAUUCAACAGCUUCAGUCCCUCCACGAGGUCUUGGUUUCAACUAUGCAGGAUAGGAAUAAUUUUAGACUGCAGAAAAUUUAGUGGUAAUCAGAUAUAAUUUUCCAUUCAGUUUAUCCAAUUCCCAUAGAAGAGACAAGACCCUCCAAAUAUUGGCUCUGCCUCUAACCACUUGUCCACAAAGGAAUUUGGAUUCUGGGUGACUGGAAAUAUGUCAACAGAUGUUAUGCACAGAUAAGAGUUCUAUCUUCUGCAGGGAACAUAAGCAGAGUAUCCAUGGGAUAAGCUGUGGGAGCUAUUUUACCAUAAAAAGAUAGAUUCAUCAGUGCCCACUUACAGACACUAGAACACAUAAAACGGUAUUGAUGAACAGUACAAGCUAAUUUUCACAGAGCAGACAUCAUUUUUGUUCAGCAUCUUUCUAGGCAAAUCACUGGCUUUCGGCCAAGCAAAUUUUUUUAAACACAAACAAAAUGAAAUCACUUACUGGAACAAACCUACUGAAUCAUUUUUGGUCACUUUCACCACUCAGUCCAAUGUCCAGGCAACAAAUGACUCCUUUUCCUGAGCUGGUCAGGACUAUGAGAUGCCAGACAAAGCCAGGUUCUGCAGAGCUAUGUGAGAAGGGGAAGCCUUUAGCACACAAUCUGUAGGUGAGGAGCUCACUGGGAAGUGGGGCUGGACCCUACCGAAGGCGAGGCUCUUUAUUUAUCUAAUCUCUCAUCAAAAUACAAAACUUUGGAUACAAUGCAGAAACACACACCAAAGAUAAACUAAUGUUUUAAGAAACAUUUACUUACCUAGUAUAUAAAAAAAAAAAAUCUUUGCUCAUUUUUUGCCUUUUUUUCUUUCUUUUUUUUAGGAAAACAAAAUCAAAGGCUAGAGUGCAAUGUAAGGAGUAGUGGUAUGCAAUACUACAUGGUAAGCACAUGUUCUUUACAGAAAACUUGGAUGUGGCUUUAAAAAGCACAGCAGUUACAGCUUUACACCCCACAGAAGGCACGGUUGCCACACCAUGACUGUGGAUGGGUCUGAGCCGUUUGGUUUUUCCAGUCAUGAUUUCAAGGGUCAAUAUAUAAAAUCUCUGCCUUGUCUCCCUGUGUAAUGAAAAAAAGACUUCUCUGGUGUUUUUGCUGUUCUUCCUCCUCCUUCCUAGUAAAUUUACUAGUAAUGUUACACCAAGCAUGGAUUUGAUGUGGUAACCAAACUUCUAUUAAAGAAAAAAUUUGUAUUGCUCAUUUUAUUUGGAUUCAGAAUUAGGCAGUUAAGGUGUUGCAAACAAUCCUAUGUGGCCACUAAAAUUAUUAUAUUGAUAGUAUAUCAAUAAAAUUAUUAUAGUGAUAGCAAAUGCCCAUCAACAUGCAAAUGUAAAAAAAAAUGUGCCCAUUGCAUUUUUUCUUAAACACAGAAGUAAUGCAUAUUAAGUUACUCUAGUGACCACAUGGGAGUAGGUGAUUCAUGUAGGGAGAAGUGAUUCAUGGCUACAUAGCACUUAAACUUCUUGCAGUUUCUCCUUUCUGUCUCUGUAUGUUCACAUUUGAUUUUAAGGCUCUAGUUAACAUUGUUUUGACUAAAAAUCAUCUAGCGUUUUCUAUCUAGGUACAAACCCCUUUACAUUAAAAA